rnacentral:rRNA from 1 species
GAUGAACGCUGGCGGCGUGCCUAAUACAUGCAAGUCGAGCGAACAGACGAGGAGCUUGCUCCUCUGACGUUAGCGGCGGACGGGUGAGUAACACGUGUAUAACCUACCUAUAAGACUGGGAUAACUUCGGGAAACCGGAGCUAAUACCGGAUAAUAUAUUGAACCGCAUUGUUCAAUAGUGAAAGACGGUUUUGCUGUCACUUAUAGAUGGAUCCGCGCCGCAUUAGCUAGUUGGUAAGGUAACGGCUUACCAAGGCAACGAUGCGUAGCCGACCUGAGAGGGUGAUCGGCCACACUGGAACUGAGACACGGUCCAGACUCCUACGGGAGGCAGCAGUAGGGAAUCUUCCGCAAUAGGCGAAAGCCUGACGGAGCAACGCCGCGUGAGUGAUAGAGGUCUUCGGAUCGUAAAACUCUGUUAUUAGGGAAGAACAAAUGUGUAAGUAACUAUGCACGUCUUGACGGUACCUAAUCAGAAAGCCACGGCUAACUACGUG